rnacentral:rRNA from 1 species
GUGCCAGCAGCCGCGGUAAUACGUAGGGACCAAGCGUUGUUCGGAUUUACUGGGCGUAAAGGGCGCGUAGGCGGCAAUUCAAGUCAUCUGUGAAAUCUCCGGGCUUAACUCGGAACGGUCAGAUGAUACUGCUUUGCUAGAGUGCGGAAGGGGCAAUCGGAAUUCUUGGUGUAGCGGUGAAAUGCGUAGAUAUCAAGAGGAACACCUGAGGUGAAGACGGGUUGCUGGGCCGACACUGACGCUGAUGCGCGAAAGCCAGGGGAGCAAACGGGAUUAGAAACCCGCGUAGUCC